AGUGAACGCUGGCGGUAGGCCUAACACAUGCAAGUCGAACAGCAGCACAGUAAGAGCUUGCUCUUACGGGUGGCGAGUGGCGGACGGGUGAGGAAUACAUCGGAAUCUACUUUUUCGUGGGGGAUAACGUAGGGAAACUUACGCUAAUACCGCAUACGACCUACGGGUGAAAGCAGGGGAUCUUCGGACCUUGCGCGAUUGAAUGAACCGAUGUCGGAUUAGCUAGUUGGCGGGGUAAAGGCCCACCAAGGCGACGAUCCGUAGCUGGUCUGAGAGGAUGAUCAGCCACACUGGAACUGAGACACGGUCCAGACUCCUACGGGAGGCAGCAGUGGGGAAUAUUGGACAAUGGGCGCAAGCCUGAUCCAGCCAUACCGCGUGGGUGAAGAAGGCCUUCGGGUUGUAAAGCCCUUUUGUUGGGAAAGAAAAGCAGCAGGUUAAUACCCCGCUGUUCUGACGGUACCCAAAGAAUAAGCACCGGCUAACUUCGUG
rnacentral:rRNA from 1 species